rnacentral:rRNA from 1 species
ACGAACGCUGGCGGCGUGCUUAACACCUGCAAGUCGAACGGUGAAGGGGCCUGCUUUUGUGGGCCCUGGAUGAGUGGCGAACGGGUGAGUAACACGUGAGUAACCUGCCCCCUUCUUCUGGAUAACCGCAUGAAAGUGUGGCUAAUACGGGAUAUUCUGGGUCUGUCGCAUGAUGGGUCUGGGAAAGAUUGCGCCUUUGGGUGUUUUUGGUGGGGGAUGGGCUCGCGGCCUAUCAGCUUGUUGGUGGGGUGAUGGCCUACCAGGGCGGUGACGGGUAGCCGGCCGGGGGGGGUGGACGGUGACACGGGGACUGAGACACGGCCCAGACUCCUACGGGAGGCAGCAGUGGGGAAUAUUGCACAAUGGGCGAAAGCCUGAUGCAGCGACGCCGCGUGAGGGAUGGAGGCCUUCGGGUUGUAAACCUCUUUCGCCAGUGAAGCAGGCCUGCUCCUUGUGGGUGGGUUGACGGUAGCUGGAGAAGAAGCGCCGGCUAACUACGUG